GGUCAGGUUACUCCUCCAAGCCUUGUCCCCUGGCUGGUAAUGGCUGGUCCCUUCAGUACACUGCAUUAUGCAUCAGCAUUAAGGCAAAUGGAAUGAAGCAGAAUCCAAUUACGGAAGAACAAACAGGAGGCAUAAUGGCCCAGCUGUAAAAGAAUAUUGUACGGUUCAGGGUGUGGAGUCAGUCAAAAGAGGACUAUGUUGAACUAAACAGAUGGAAGAAAACCUUGAAUUCAAGAUGGCAGACUCACUAGAGUGAGUUUCAGAAAAAGAGAGAGAGAGAGCGAGUAUACCUAUAUGACUCUUCCAAUUGGUAAUAUUUACUGCUACAAUGUCAAAAAUCAUCUCAUCAGUGCUUGGAGCAACACAUAUAGAGUACAAACCCAUAAAAGUAACAGGAAAGAAAUAUAAGAUAACGAUUCAAAAUGCAAACCAGCACACAGAAACUAUCUGUGCUGUA